rnacentral:lncRNA from 1 species
AUCUUGAAACCAAACUUACUAAAGCAAAGCAGAACUGCAGAACCAAACGCACGCCAAACGCUUCUGAUCAAGGCCCGGUCAGGACACGCGGGCGAGCUUAAGAGCUGGUGGUCUUGUGCUCGCCGGCAGCAGCGCCGGCGGCCUUGUGGUCCUCCUCGCCGGAGCCCUUGUUGUACCCGGGUAUCUUGUCCAUGAUCUUGCCCAGCAAGCCCUUCUUCUCCUUGCCGUCCGGGCUGCUCACGUCCUCGGUGUGCGGUGUCGGCGCUGGCGCGUGGACGGCGGGUGCGCCGGCAGCGUCCUCCGGUUUCUUGUGGCCGCCGGGGAGCUUCUCCUUGAUCUUGUCAAGGAGGCCUUUCUUCUCCUCCUCCGGUGCCGGUGGGGCGUCGGUCUUCGCGUCGUCCUCGAUCUUCUGGACGACGACGGCGUGGUCAUGGUGGUGGACGUGCGUCUCCACGGGCGGGGGAGCCGGCGCCGGGACGUACGGCUUGUGGUCGUCCUCCUUGUAAGCGUGCGUCUCCACGGGCGCUGGCGCCGGGGCCGGUACGGCCGUGUGGUGCUCGCCCUCGGCGUGGUCCUUGUGGCCGGGCAGCUUCUCCUUGAUCUUCUCCUUGAGGCCCUUCUUCUUCUUCCUCUUGACGAUCUCGCCGUUCUCGUCGAUCACCUCCUCUUCCUCGUCGCUCGACUGCACGCAACGAUCGCAGCCAGGAAUCAGUACACACAUAAAUGAUCAGUCGUGUCAUAAUGUAUUAAGAAGCCGCGUACCGAUCCAGAUUAAUUAAGCUAUGCAGAUCAUAUUAAUGAACUUACCGAGCUAGAGCUAGAGCUGGUGCGGUGCAGCUUGGCGAGGAGGCUCUCCUUCUUCUCCCCGGCCUCGUGCUCUUCCUUCUUGUGCUCGUGCUUCUCAGGCUCGGCCACCGUGACCUUUUCCAUGCCGGUCACCAGCUCCUCCUCCUGCUUCUUCUCCUGGUCCUCGGGCUUCUUCCUGCCGAGAAGGGUGUCCAGGAUCCCCCUGUCCUUCACCUCCACCUGAUCGGCGGCCUUCUCCUGGGCCUCGCCGCCC